GAUGAACGCUGGCGGCGUGCUUAACACAUGCAAGUCGAACGGUGAAGCAGGAGCUUGCUCUUGUGGAUCAGUGGCGAACGGGUGAGUAACACGUGAGCAACCUGCCCCUGACUCUGGGAUAAGCGCUGGAAACGGCGUCUAAUACUGGAUAUGUGAUGUGACCGCAUGGUCUGCAUCUGGAAAGAAUUUCGGUUGGGGAUGGGCUCGCGGCCUAUCAGCUUGUUGGUGAGGUGAUGGCUCACCAAGGCGUCGACGGGUAGCCGGCCUGAGAGGGUGACCGGCCACACUGGGACUGGGACACGGCCCAGACUCCUACGGGAGGCAGCAGUGGGGAAUAUUGCACAAUGGGCGGAAGCCUGAUGCAGCAACGCCGCGUGAGGGAUGACGGCCUUCGGGUUGUAAACUUCUUUUAGCAGGGAAGAAGCGAAAGUGACGGUACCUGCAGAAAAAGCACCGGCUAACUACGUGCCAGCCGCCGCGGUAA
rnacentral:rRNA from 1 species